ACACUUAAAAAAUUAUUGCGUCGGGACACCUUUUCCUUUAUUUGUCAACUCAUUCACAUACUUUUGAUCUUGAAAACUUAACUCUUCAAAGGUCUUCUCAUGUUUCAGUGCACCUACCAACAUUAUAUAUGUUGAGUCCAACGAGUCUCAACAUCUAGGCAAACUGAACUUAGUCAAUGCUCUCAUCAAUAAUUCCAUGAAUUUAACAAGAUUCAUAGGAGAAGAUCUAACGUACCACACAGCAUGUGAACAUCUUCACCAUUGCUCUUCGAAUUGCCUCUUGGUCAAACUUGGCAACUAAAGAAGAAUUCACAUGUCCUUCUGCACUUGUCAUUGAAGAUGACAAUGACAAUCUUUGCCUCUUGUAAUCGCAACAUCUAUUGAUAUGAGCACGCACAGAACUAGUUCCAUUUCACACUUGAUUUUUCCACCCCAACAAUGGCAUGCAACUUUCUUUUCUAUGCCACACCCUAAUGAAAUGAUUCCAUGACUCUGAACGCUUCUUAGUUUGAGUAGGUAACAUUGCAGAUGUUGGAAACUGUACUCUCUGAAG
rnacentral:lncRNA from 1 species